GUCUGAACAUGGGGGGACCAUCCUCCAAGGCUAAAUACUACUGACCGACCGAUAGUGAAGCAGUACCGUGAGGGAAAGGUGAAAAGAACCGCGGGAGCGGAGUGAAAGAGAACCUGAAACCGUGUGCUUACAAGCAGUAGGAGCUCCGCAAGGAGUGACUGCGUACCUUUUGUAUAAUGGGUCAGCGACUUACUGUUCGUGGCAAGCUUAACCGUAUAGGGGAGGCGAAGGGAAACCGAGUCUGAUAAGGGCGCAUAGUCGCGGGCAGUAGACCCGAAACCGGGUGAUCUAGUCAUGCCCAGGGUGAAGGUGCGGUAACACGCACUGGAGGCCCGAACCCACUCCCGUUGCAAAGGUAGGGGAUGAGGUGUGAUUAGGAGUGAAAAGCUAAUCGAACCCGGAGAUAGCUGGUUCUCCUCGAAAGCUAUUUAGGUAGCGCCUCAUAUGUAUCCUCUCGGGGGUAGAGCACUGUUAUGGCUAGGGGGUCAUCUCGACUUACCAAACCAUUGCAAACUCCGAAUACCGAGACGGACUGUAUGGGAGACACACGGCGGG
rnacentral:rRNA from 1 species